rnacentral:lncRNA from 1 species
UGUCAGCCAUAUUUUGACUUUUCAGCAUUAAUUAAAACCAGGACAUUAUUUGCAUGUAAUAACUGUUUACUUGUUACUUUUUAUGAAACUGAAAUAGUUUACAUUCUUUCAAACAUUUCCUGUUCCUGUUGGCUCCCUUCCCCACACACAGAUUUCUUUCAAACGGUGCCCUUAACUGGUUGCAGGAAGAGUUUCACCCUGACCAUCACUGUGUUC